rnacentral:rRNA from 1 species
UACGGGGGGGGUAAGCGUUGUUCGGAAUUACUGGGCGUAAAGGGCUCGUAGGCGGCCAACUAAGUCGGACGUGAAAUCCCUCAGCUUAACUGGGGAACUGCGUCCGAUACUGGAUGGCUUGGAUUCGGGAGAGGGAUGCGGAAUUCCAGGUGUAGCGGUGAAAUGCGUAGAUAUCGGGAGGAACAUCAGUGGCGAAGGCGGCUACCUGGCCCAAUACUGACACUCAGGUGCGACAGCGGUGGGGAGCAAACAGG